rnacentral:rRNA from 1 species
CGCGCAGGCUAGUUUCUUUAAUUAUGAUGUGAAAGACACACCGGCUCAUCCGUCGGAGGGUCAUUCGUAAUACUGGGGAACUUGAGUGCUGAUGAGGGAGAGUGAGAAGUAACAAGUGUAGCGGUGAAAAAAAGUAGAUAUUUGGAGGAACAACAUCAGUGAAGAAGACUUUUUGGUGUGUAACUGACACUGAGGCGCGAAAGCGUGUGGAGCAAACAGGAUUAGAUAGCCUGGUAGUCCUCGCACGUAAACGAUGAGUGUCUAAGUGUUAGGGGGUUUCCGCCCUUUAGUGUUGCAGAUAACGCAUUAAGCACUCCGCGUGGGGAGUACGGUCGCAAGACUGAAACUCAAAGGAAUUGACGGGGGCCCGCACAAGCGGUGGAGCAUGUGGUUUAAUUUGAAGCAACGCGAAGAACCUUACCAGGUCUUGACAUCCUCUGACAACCUUAGAGAUAGGGCUUUCCCCUUUGGGGGACUGAGUGACAGGUGGUGCAUGGUUGUCGUCAGCUCGUGUCGUGAGAUGUUGGGUUAAGUCCCGCAACGAGCGCAACCCUUGAUCUUAGUUGCCAGCAUUCAGUUGGGCACUCUAAGAUGACUGCCGGUGACAAACCGGAGGAAGGUGGGGAUGACGUCAAAUCAUCAUGCCCCUUAUGACCUGGGCUACACACGUGCUACAAUGGACGGUACAAAGGGCAGCGAGACCGCGAGGUUUAGCCAAUCCCAUAAAACCGUUCUCAGUUCGGAUUGUAGUCUGCAACUCGCCUACAUGAAGUUGGAAUCGCUAGUAAUCGCGGAUCAGCAUUGUUGCGGUGAAUACGUUCCCGGGCCUUGUACACACCGCCCGUCACACCCCGAGAGUUUGUAACACCAAGAAGUUAGGUGAGGUAACCUUUGGAGCCAGCCGUACUCACUUGUUCCCUUUU